rnacentral:rRNA from 1 species
UACGGGGGGUGCGAGCGUUGUCCGGAAUCACUGGGCGUAAAGGGCGCGUAGGUGGUUUGAUAAGGGUGUGGUGAAAGUCCGGGGCUCAACCCCGGAUCUGCCGUGCCGACUGUCAAACUCGAGGACUGUAGAGGCAGGCGGAAUUCCCGGUGUAGUGGUGGAAUGCGUAGAUAUCGGGAGGAACACCAGUGGCGAAGGCGGUUGCCUGGGGCUUUGGCUGACGCUGAUGCGCGAAAGCGUGGGGAGCGAGUCCGG